CGGACGGGUGAGUAACGCGUGGAAAACCUGCCGUAUACUGGGGGAUAACACUUAGAAAUAGGUGCUAAUACCGCAUAAGCGCACAGCUUCGCAUGAAGCGGUGUGAAAAACUCUGAUGGUAUACGAUGGUUCCGCGUCUGAUUAGCUAGUUGGUGGGGUAAUGGCCUACCAAGGCAACGAUCAGUAGCCGGCCUGAGAGGGUGAACGGCCACAUUGGGACUGAGACACGGCCCAAACUCCUACGGAAGGCAGCAG
rnacentral:rRNA from 1 species